rnacentral:tRNA from 1 species
AGAGACUUAGGAUAGUAUAGACCAAGAGCCUUCAAAGCCCUAAGCAGGAGUGAAAAUCUCCUAGUCCCUG